rnacentral:lncRNA from 1 species
CUUACAAACUAGUAUCUCAAUUGUUUGUAAAACAAUUGAAAGGUCUUUCCUGUAAAAUUGAUGUUUUCGUAAUGUACUUUGUACGACCUUUCGUUUUAUAUACGACAAGCAUACCUUCUGAAACUUUUCUCUUUUAACACUUAAUGACCUCAUCCGGCUACAUUUUUGAGAUCGGAAGUAUGAUAUAUGUAACAUAGAGUAGAUGAGCUUUCAUUUGAUAUGCGACAACGCCUUGUUCUAGAAAGUUUGAUUUUUGCACUUAAUAACCCUAUCCAACUAAUUUUUGGAGGUCAGGAAUUUGAUAUUUCAAAUGUACACAUCAUGACCUUUCAUUUGAUAUACAACAACCCUAUCUUAAAAGAAAAUUUAUUUUUUGCACUCAAUAACCCCAUCCAACCCAUUUUUGGGAGACGUCAAUUUGAAAUUUGAAAUGUACGCUUUAUGUUCUUUCAUUUGAUAUGCGACAACCUUACCAUCUGAGAAAUUUGAAUGUUUGCACUAAAUGACCCCACCCGUCCCCCUGGGAUGAAAAGGGGGUUUAAAAUUUUCAUUUUUAAGUAGACUUUAUCAAGACCUUCAAUUUGAUAUAUCAGAUGACCCCAUUUGACAAAGUGCAAAUAAUGAUGCAAUAUCAACUCUAUAAAUAAAAGUUAUGAAACUUACAAAGUCAAUGCAAAACUUGAAAAUUUCAAAUUGAAUUUUUUGGUGUUUUUUUCCAUGGAAUGUUUUUGGUAUUUGGGCAAACAUAUAACUAUAUUAACCUCUUCAAUUUCUAAAACAUUUUAAGUGGUAAGCUCUUGUUGAUUCAGAAAUACACGCCUCCGCUCGCAAAACUUCAAACUGCAUUAUCUCUUAAACGACAAUAGAUAUCUCAAAUCUGUUAAAUGAUAAAUGAUCUACAGUUGAAGGACAACAUUAUAGAAAAAGAAUUGGGACAAUUUCAAAGUUCACCAAGGUCACAAUUAAUCAUCAAAUAUAUGAUGCAAUACUAAACUUAAGAACCGGAAGUCGUAGAGACAUGGGACUAGCACCAUUCAACUCAGGACCACUUAACCUUUCAACUAUCACAAGGUCAAGGUCAUUGUAUACUGUGAAGGUCAAGGUGAAAUUUCAUCAUGACCUGACAUUGACCUCAAAUUGAAGGUCUUGAAUUACUGAUCAUCUUUGCAGUUUAUAGUAGGUUGAUAUCUGUUACAUUUAAAAAGAUAUACACACAAUACUAUAUUUUUAAGAAUCAUCCCGUUGUAACUUUUGAACAGACGGUCGGACAUUUUUGGGCUUAUUGUAUAAAAUGUAUUAUCAUAUACUUAGACUAAAUAACAUAUAAAUUUUACCGUAUGAUAAUAGCAUUAAAUUGACGUAAAUUCCAUAUUUUUUGAAUUGCUUAGCGGGCUGAUAUGAAAAGUUUAUCACAUGCUUCGAUUGUUAUCACAUGCCUUUCCGUAACGUUAUCACAUGGCAUUCCGGUAAUACUCGGCCAAUUCCGGA